UACGUAGGGUGCAAGCGUUAAUCGGAAUUACUGGGCGUAAAGCGUGCGCAGGCGGCUUUGCAAGUCAGAUGUGAAAUCCCCGGGCUUAACCUGGGAACUGCAUUUGUGACUGCAUGGCUAGAGUGCGGCAGAGGGGGAUGGAAUUCCGCGUGUAGCAGUGAAAUGCGUAGAUAUGCGGAGGAACACCGAUGGCGAAGGCAAUCCCCUGGGCCUGCACUGACGCUCAUGCGCGAAAGCGUGGGGAGCAAACCGG
rnacentral:rRNA from 1 species